GACAAUGAUGCAACCAGUCAGGAUACCUUUAACAUAUAUAGUAUGACUGUAGAAGUUUAUUAAUAUAUUUACUGGCACACUGAAUCUCUUGAACCUUCUUAGUAAGUGGAGAUGGUGGCACUUUUUCCUAGUGCUUGCAUCAAUGUGCUGGCCUAGAAUAGGUGAUCCCAUGUGUUAACACUUGGGAUUUUAAAGCAGCUGACUCCCAGCAAGUCAGGCAGUAUCUGUGGAAUGAGAAGCUGAAUUACUGUUUCAGCUUUAACAUGGGCAGAUGUAUAAAAGAAAAGAAUGCAACAUCUGUGCAUCCAUGAGAAGGCAAGAAAAGGUGUCUUGGUGGCAGUAGAUACACUGUUUCUCACCACAGCUCUUGCCUAGCCGGGUUUGUGAAAAAAAAAGUAAGAAAUGAAGAAUCUUUCUACAUCUGAGUGCGGUGGAUUCCUGAGUCCAGCAGUAGAGAAAACCGAGAGGAAGCUACAGACAUGAUGAAGGAAGCCCUGAACACCACCAGAGCUGGAAACCUUCAUCGUUGCCCUAAACAUCAAUGGCGUAACAGCUACUCGGCUCAGCACAGAUCCUCCCAUACAUUCACUGGCUCCCUCCUUUACUAAUACUGUAUCUAAACAAUAAAAAUACUGACUUCAAAUUUCU